GACGAACGCUGGCGGCGUGCUUAACACAUGCAAGUCGAACGGAAAGGCCCUGCUUUUGUGGGGUGCUCGAGUGGCGAACGGGUGAGUAACACGUGAGUAACCUGCCCUUGACUUUGGGAUAACUUCAGGAAACUGGGGCUAAUACCGGAUAGGAGCUCCUGCUGCAUGGUGGGGGUUGGAAAGUUUCGGCGGUUGGGGAUGGACUCGCGGCUUAUCAGCUUGUUGGUGGGGUAGUGGCUUACCAAGGCUUUGACGGGUAGCCGGCCUGAGAGGGUGACCGGCCACAUUGGGACUGAGAUACGGCCCAGACUCCUACGGGAGGCAGCAGUGGGGAAUAUUGCACAAUGGGCGGAAGCCUGAUGCAGCAACGCCGCGUGCGGGAUGACGGCCUUCGGGUUGUAAACCGCUUUCGCCUGUGACGAAGCGUGAGUGACGGUAAUGGGUAAAGAAGCACCGGCUAACUACGUGCCAGCAGCCGCGGUGAUACGUAGGGUGCGAGCGUUGUCCGGAUUUAUUGNGCGUAAGGGCUCGUAGGUGGUUGAUCGCGUCGGAAGUGUAAUCUUUGGGCUUAACCCUGAGCGUGCUUUCGAUACGGGUUGACUUGAGGAAGGUAGGGGAGAAUGGAAUUCCUGGUGGAGCGGUGGAAUGCGCAGAUAUCAGGAGGAACACCAGUGGCGAAGGCGGUUCUCUGGGCCUUUCCUGACGCUGAGGAGCGAAAGCGUGGGGAGCGAACAGGCUUAGAUACCCUGGUAGUCCACGCUGUAAACGGUGGGUACUAGGUGUGGGGUCCAUUCCACGGGUUCCGUGCCGUAGCUAACGCUUUAAGUACCCCGCCUGGGGAGUACGGCCGCAAGGCUAAAACUCAAAGGAAUUGACGGGGCCCCGCACAAGCGGCGGAGCAUGCGGAUUAAUUCGAUGCAACGCGUAGAACCUUACCUGGGUUUGACAUGGAUCGGGAGUGCUCAGAGAUGGGUGUGCCUCUUUUGGGGUCGGUUCACAGGUGGUGCAUGCCUGUCGUCAGCUCGUGUCGUGAGAUGUUGGGUUAAGUCCCGCAACGAGCGCAACCCUUGUUCACUGUUGCCAGCACGUUAUGGUGGGGACUCAGUGGAGACCGCCGGGGUCAACUCGGAGGAAGGUGGGGAUGACGUCAAGUCUUCAUGCCCCUUAUGUCCAGGGCUUCACGCAUGCUACAAUGGCUGGUACAGAGAGUGGCGAGCCUGUGAGGGUGAGCGAAUCUCGGAAAGCCGGUCUCAGUUCGGAUUGGGGUCUGCAACUCGACCUCAUGAAGUCGGAGUCGCUAGUAAUCGCAGAUCAGCAACGCUGCGGUGAAUACAAUCCCGGGGCU
rnacentral:rRNA from 1 species